CGAAGGUGGCAAGCGUUGUUCGGAUUCACUGGGCGUACAGGGUGUGUAGGCGGUUUGGUAAGCCUUUUGUGAAAGCUUCGGGCCUAACCCGGAAAGCGCAGAGGGGACUGCCAGGCUAGAGGACGGGAGAGGAGCGCGGAAUUCCCGGUGUAGCGGUGAAAUGCGUAGAGAUCGGGAGGAAGGCCGGUGGCGAAGGCGGCGCUCUGGAACGUAUCUGACGCUGAGACACGAAAGCGUGGGGAGCAAACAGGAUUAGAUACCCUGGUAGUCCACGCCCUAAACUAUGGACGCUAAGUGUCGGCGGGUUACCGCCGGUGCCGCAGCUAACGCAUUAAGUGUCCCGCCUGGGAAGUACGGCCGCAAGGUUG
rnacentral:rRNA from 1 species